rnacentral:tRNA from 1 species
GCUCUCAUAGCUUAUCAGGUAAAGCAACUGGUUUGUAACCAGAAGAGCGGGGUUCGAUUCCUCGUGAGAGCU